CACUCCUACGGGAGGCAGCAGUGGGGAAUAUUGGACAAUGGGCGCAAGCCUGAUCCAGCCAUGCCGCGUGAGUGAUGAAGGCCCUAGGGUUGUAAAGCUCUUUCACCGGUGAAGAUAAUGACGGUAACCGGAGAAGAAGCCCCGGCUAACUUCGUGCCAGCAGCCGCGGUAAUACGAAGGGGGCUAGCGUUGUUCGGAUUUACUGGGCGUAAAGCGCACGUAGGCGGACUAUUAAGUCAGGGGUGAAAUCCCGGGGCUCAACCCCGGAACUGCCUUUGAUACUGGUAGUCUUGAGUGCGAGGGAGGUGGGUGGAAUUCCGGGUGUAGAGGUGAAAUUCGUAGAUAUUCGGAGGAACACCAGUGGCGAAGGCGGCUCACUGGCUCGAUACUGACGCUGAGGUGCGAAAGCGUGGGGAGCAAACAGGAUUAGAAACCCUAGUAGUCCCAUGA
rnacentral:rRNA from 1 species